CCUCCCCCAGCCCCACCUCCGCCGCCGCCUCCUCCGGAAGCGGUCCGGGCUGUCAUCCCCUUCUGCUCGGGCUCCGGCUACUUGAAUCUCGUGCAGCGGCUGAGGAAGCUCGUCAGCCGCAACAACGGGCGUCCCUUGAAUCCUGUGGCCGCGUCCCUCGCCGUCGCCGUCAACUAUUGCAAGUUCGGUUUAGGAGUGCGUCCCGUCGUGCCUCCCGCGCCGCCCUCUCCCGCCAUUGGCCGCUCUUAUACCAGAAACAGCUACGCCCAGCCGCCCAUCUUCCUGGACGACCAAGAGGCCCAGGUGGCCAAAACGCCCCCAAAACGAUGGCCAGGGAUUAGUCAUCCUUCCCUCCACUUCUUCCAAGGGACCAACAGACCCCCCCC